rnacentral:rRNA from 1 species
UACGAGGGGGGCAAGCGUUGUUCGGAAUUAUUGGGCGUAAAGGGCGCGUAGGCGGUGCGGUAAGUCACCUGUGAAAACUCUGGGCUCAACUCAGAGCCUGCAGGCGAAACUGCCGUGCUGGAGUGUGGGAGAGGUGCGUGGAAUUCCCGGUGUAGCGGUGAAAUGCGUAGAUAUCAGGAGGAACACCGGUGGCGAAGGCGGGUCUCUGGGCCGUAACUGACGCUGAGGAGCGAAAGCGUGGGGAGCGAACAGG